CCUACGGGAGGCAGCAGUGAGGAAUAUUGGACAAUGGGCGCAAGCCUGAUCCAGCCAUGCCGCGUGCAGGAAGACGCAUCUAUGGUGUGUAAACUGCUUUUGUACGGGAAGAAACACUCCCUCGUGAGGGAGCUUGACGGUACCGUAAGAAUAAGGAUCGGCUAACUCCGUGCCAGCAGCCGCGGUAAUACGGAGGAUCCAAGCGUUAUCCGGAAUCAUUGGGUUUAAAGGGUCCGUAGGCGGUUUAAUAAGUCAGUGGUGAAAGCCCAUCGCUCAACGAUGGAACGGCCAUUGAUACUGUUAGACUUGAAUUACUAGGAAGUAACUAGAAUAUGUAGUGUAGCGGUGAAAUGCUUAGAUAUUACAUGGAAUACCAAUUGCGAAGGCAGGUUACUACUAGUGGAUUGACGCUGAUGGACGAAAGCGUGGGGAGCGAACAGGAUUAGAUACCCUGGUAGUCCACGCCGUAAACGAUGGAUACUAGCUGUUGGGCGCAAGUUCAGUGGCUAAGCGAAAGUGAUAAGUAUCCCACCUGGGGAGUACGUUCGCAAGAAUGAAACUUAAAUGAAUUGACGGCUGAGACGAGACGAGACGACGACGAGGGAGGAGG
rnacentral:rRNA from 1 species